UCGCCAAGCGGUAAGGCACCGGAUUCUGAUUCCGGCAUUCCGGGGUUCGAAUCCCUGCACCCCAG
rnacentral:tRNA from 1 species